rnacentral:rRNA from 1 species
UACGUAGGCAGCAAGCGUUGUUCGGAAUUACUGGGCGUAAAGAGUGUGUAGGCGGUGCUCUAAGUCUGUUGUGAAAUCUCCCGGCUCAACUGGGAGGGUGCGCCGAAUACUGAAUGACUAGAGUGCGGGAGAGGAGAGUGGAAUUCCUGGUGUGAGCGGUGAAAUGCGUAGAUAUCAGGAGGAACACCGGUGGUGUAGACGGCUCUCUGGACCGUAACUGACGCUGAGGCACGAAAGCGUGGGUAGCAAACAGG